ACAUAGGAAAUAUCAUAAAAAUUUCAUAAGCUUGUUAAACAAUAUAUUGAAUCUCAAAAUAGUUAUUUUUUCUGUAAAAGAUUACAUAUUGUCUAACUUUGUAGAAAGAGCUAUAAUGGUUAUUCUCCGACAGCAAAAGUUCAGCUGUUGCUCCCAUCAAUAGGUAGGCUAUAAGGCUAUUAUCAAUAACAAGUAAGUCAUGCUACAUAAAAAUAUCCAAGUUCCUAUGCAAGAUGUCCUCAAACCACUACAUAUGUAGUGCUGCAAUUUUUCUUCUUAAAUUUAAUCUAUUUUUAUUAUUUAUCUUGCUCUACAUAAUUCAA
rnacentral:misc_RNA from 1 species